rnacentral:rRNA from 1 species
UACAACGCACUACCUGUUCAUAGUAGUCGUUGCUGUCAACAGCACACUGCUCACCAUCAACGCAGGGGACUACAUCUUCUACACAGACUGGGCGUGGACGUCCUUCGGUGUGUUCUCGGUGGCGCAGUCGACGAUGAUCACUAGAGGAGCAGUAUACUGCAUAGUAUUAACCGGUAUUCAACGACACGCAACCAUUUCCGCCACGACAAUUACCACCUCAACCGGAGGGGAACAGGGGGAAGGCUUUGCACUGGGAGACCCGUCAGAACACAUGGGCGCCAAGCCUCACCAAGCACGCUCCCAUACUGAUGUUCGGUACUCUGGUUUGCCCAUCCUUCCCGCGGUUCAACAUGGUCAACCUGUUGCUUGUAAGGGACCCGCUCGCGGUGGCCUUCAAGUAUCCGAGACCGACUCUGCCCGCGUACAUGACGCCUAUAGAGCCUCAGGUAGGGAAGUUCUACAACUCGCCUGUCGCCCUGGGUUCAGGUUCCGGUGCAGUGCUAACGGUACCCAUCGCUGCGUUGGGUGCAAAACUAAACACGUGG